CAGCCGCCACGGGAAUGCGUAGGUGGCAAGCGUUGUCCGGAAUUAUUGGGCGUAAAGGGCUCGCAGGCGGUUUCUUAAGUCUGAUGUGAAAGCCCCCGGCUCAACCGGGGAGGGUCAUUGGAAACUGGGAAACUUGAGUGCAGAAGGGGAGAGUGGAAUUCCACGUGUAGCGGUGAAAUGCGUAGAGAUGUGGAGGAACACCAGUGGCGAAGGCGACUCUCUGGUCUGUAACUGACGCUGAGGAGCGGAAGCGUGGGGAGCGAACAGGAUUAGAGACCCCAGUAGUCCCUGUCUCUUAUAC
rnacentral:rRNA from 1 species